CCCCUGGUGGUCUAGUGGUUAGGAUGUGGCGCUCUCACCACCGCGGCCUGAGUUCAAUUCCCGAUCAGGGGA
rnacentral:tRNA from 1 species